rnacentral:rRNA from 1 species
UACAGAGACUGCAAGCGUUGUUCGGAAUCACUGGGCGUAAAGGGCGCGUAGGCGGCCAGGCAAGUCGGCUUGGGAAAGCCCGGGGCUCAACCCCGGAGGUGCGGCCGGGACUGCUUGGCUGGAGGCCGGAAGAGGAGGGUGGAAUACCCAGUGUAGAGGUGAAAUUCGUAGAUAUUGGGUGGAACACCGGUGGCGAAAGCGGCUCUCUGGUCCGGACCUGACGCUGAGGCGCGAAAGCGUGGGGAGCAAACAGG